GCCUGGCUAGCUCAGUUGGUAGAGCAUCAGACUUUUAAUCUGAGGGUUCAAGUCCCUGGUCAGGUA
rnacentral:tRNA from 1 species